CUGCGCUGCAGCAGAGGUCUAACCUCAAGAGAACUUUUUCUCUGACAGGCUGCAGGGUUCACGUCGGGGAGUUCUGCCACCCCGAGAGAGUGGCACGGCUCGGAAAGCCUCCCUGGGAACAGACGGGAACGUCUCAUAGGCACAGUGACUUCUGCAGUCACUCUCUGUCGCAUGGAGACAGUGUGUGGGUCCCCACUCGUCGAGUGAUUGAAGUUUGAUUCUCUAAGGACCAGGAUGGGGCUCUGAGUCCUGGCCAUCUGGACUUCCCUUGGCCCCAGGGGCAAGCCAACAGGCCCUUGUCUUCAAAAGUGUGUGCUCAGGGAGGGCACGGAGGAUUGUCUGGAAAAGGUUAGUUGUUGCCAUUAGGGAACCUCGUGCAGCCAAGACUACAGUGCAAUGUGAAGCAGAAAUAAACCCUGGGCUCUCCGCACGUUUGCCAAGCAG